AACGAACGCUGGCGGCGUGCUUAACACAUGCAAGUCGAACGCGAAAGGGACUUCGGUCCUGAGUAAAGUGGCGCACGGGUGAGUAACGCGUAGAUAACCUGUCUUCAUGUCUGGAAUAAUACGCCGAAAGGGGUACUAAUACCGGAUAUUCUUGCUUUUCAUAAGUUAUGCAAGCAAAGGUGGCCUCUGCAUAUGCUACUGCAUGAAGAGGGGUCUGCGUACCAUUAGCUAGUAGGUGGGGUAAUGGCCUACCUAGGCGACGAUGGUUAGCGGGUCUGAGAGGAUGAUCCGCCACACUGGCACUGGAACACGGGCCAGACUCCUACGGGAGGCAGCAGUGAGGAAUAUUGCGCAAUGGGGGAAACCCUGACGCAGCGACGCCGCGUGAGUGAGGGAAAGGCCUUCGGGUCGUAAAGCUCUGUCAAGAGGAAAGAAGUGUACAAUGGCUAAUACCUGUUGUAUUUGACGGUACCUCUAAAGGAAGCACCGGCUAACUCCGUGCCAGCAGCAGC
rnacentral:rRNA from 1 species